rnacentral:rRNA from 1 species
AGAAAGCGUAACAGCUCACUGGUCAAGCGCUCCUGCGCGGAAAAUGUAACGGGGCUUAAGUGAUACACCGAAGCUGCGGGCUCGAAAGAGCGGUAGCGGAGCGUUCCGUAAGCCUGCGAAGGUGCACUGCGAGGUGUGCUGGAGGUAUCGGAAGUGAGAAUGUUGACAUGAGUAGCGACAAAGCGGGUGAGAGACCCGCUCGCCGAAAAUCCAAGGGUUCCUGCGUAAAGCUAAUCUGCGCAGGGUUAGCCGGCCCCUAAGGCGAGGCCGAAAGGCGUAGCCGAUGGGAACCACGUUAAUAUUCGUGGGCCUGGGAGUGUGUGACGGAUUUCGAAAGUUGUCAUCCCUUAAUGGAUUGGGAUGGCGGCCUGGAAGUCCCAGGAAAUAGCCCUCCCAUAUAGACCGUACCCUAAACCGACACAGGUGG